GAUGAACGCUAGCUACAGGCUUAACACAUGCAAGUCGAGGGGCAGCAUGUACGUUGGCUUGCACGAAUGAUGGCGACCGGCGCACGGGUGAGUAACGCGUAUCCAACCUACCCUUGUCCAUCGGAUAACCCGUCGAAAGGCGGCCUAACACGAUAUGCGGUUCUCAGCAGGCAUCUAACGUGAACGAAAUGUGAAGGAGAAGGAUGGGGAUGCGUCUGAUUAGCUUGUUGGCGGGGUAACGGCCCACCAAGGCGACGAUCAGUAGGGGUUCUGAGAGGAAGGUCCCC
rnacentral:rRNA from 1 species